CUCCUGCAAUAAGUAUUUAUUCUCCACCAGACUUACGAAACUGCGAUCCAAGGCCACCCAGGUGCCCUACUUUGUCAUAGUGUGAGUGAGAGGAACUUGCCAGGGAUUGAAAACUACAGAACAUAGCUGUUUUGGAAAGAAUUGGAUUUGAAGGUAUUACACCCAUCCACAUCUGAUGCCAGAGGAGCACAUGAGCCACGCCUCUGCCACAGAGAGCUCCGUCCCAGUGGGUGAUAUAUUUUCUCUGAACUAUUCCUGGAAAAUAUUCCAGAAGACAAAUCAGCAACAGGAUGAAAGAGGCUCUCAGGGAUUGGACGAAGCAGCCUACCCUGGGGAGAGCCAUCUGCUUCCCUGAGUCCAAGGAUUCAAAUGCUGAUCACAUUCUGAAGCACCCUGCUGGACACCCCAGAAACAACAUUUAUUUAAUCUGGGCACCUGUGGGCCAGUCCAGAUGAUACACAGAAUUAACCAUCAUAUAGGUCUUCUUCUGCAGGUUCUUCUUAAUAGGAGCAGUUAGAAAAAUUUCCAGAAUUUUCGAUUAUUUUUUAAUGAUGACUAUGCCUGAUGCUGUUGUUAUGGCCCCAGGAGAACCAGGCUCCGAAAGUCCAAUUCCUUCUGAGGCAAGUCUACCACACAAUAUUUUUGAUGAUUGCUCCUCUUCUUGUUUGCUGGGUUCUGCUGGCUUUAUGCCAAACUACUCUAGAGGCUUUUGGUGAGUUUUUGAUACUUACCUUGCAAAAAGGAAACCAUGAUAAGACAGACAUAUUCCAUCUUACUGAACAGAUAGAUAAUGUACAUGUUAAGUACCACAGGGAAGUAAGUACACCACGAGGAUGAGGGCAACUCACUUCUUUACAGGGUUUCCACUGAGGCAUAGACUGUGAUGCUAUUAAUCAUGACAGGGACUCAGGAGGAGUAUCUGGGAUAAAAGAUCAAUUUGAUUGUGGGGGCUGAAUUUGACGUGUAAGAAACACACAGGUGAUGCACGCUGCUCGACAUCAACACUGCAUCCUUAAAAACAGCAAGCUUUCUGUUUGCAAUUUGGGAAGGGAAAAUAUCAGUCAAGUGCCUUUUACACUUUUUACAUUUAUGCAGUUGAUGUAUUUGUUUUCCAGAUCUUCCGUAAAUUUAGACACCUUGAUGUUCCUGAACCCUUUACUAUUCGGUGUUAUAAAACACCUUUUGCAUUCUGGGAAAGUCAGAGCUUCCUGUGUUGCCAAGGUGCCCUAACCAAACUGAUAUGCACUCUUUUGAGUCUCAAAGCCACACCUAUUUUUUUUUUCAAGGUUUUGCUUAAGACUAAUUCUGCUUGAGCCAUGUUUUGUGGCACACAUCUCAGCACUCUGGGAGGCUGAAGCAGGAGGAAUAAAGGUUUGAGCCCAGCCUGGGUAACUUACCAACACCUUGUCUCAAAAAUUUUUUUUAAAUUUAAAAUGGCUAGAGAUGUAGGUCAGUGUGAAGGCCCUGGGUUAAAGAAAGAGAGAAAGAGGGAGAGAGGGAAAGGGGGGAGAAAGAAGGAAAGAAGACAGACAGAUAGAUAGAUAGAUAGACAGAUAGACAGAUAGGUAGAUGGAAAAAGAAAGAAAAAAGUUUAGUUCCUCUCGGAAGCAUCCCUAACUGGUACCCUUGUAGGAGUGAUGUGACACCACACGUUUUAUACCAUACAACUGUUUCAUAAUUACAUGCUCAAUAAUCUUUUUUUUUUGUCUUUUUGAGAUGGGUCUCACUAUGUUGCUUAGGCUGAUCCUGAACUCAUGGGCUCCAACGACCCUCCCACCUCAGCUUCUUAGUACCUGGGACUACAGAUGUGUCCUCGCGUACCAGGCAAGAGCUGGCUUUUGUAUGGUCGCUCCUAAGUGUCAGUCUUCAUGGUGAUCACUCCCCACACACAGAGGCUUACCCAAGGACAAAAGAUCUGAAGGCAGAGGGUGUACAACUAACCUCGGACCAAAGGGAGUGCUGUGGUCCAAGACAUACAUUCCAACAAGGGAUCGGGCAGGGUCCUUCAAAGUAUUUCUGUAGAGGAGAUACAGAUACAGACCCAGAGGACAGCUCAUAAUUGCUGGAUGAUGCAAACUAAGCAACAUCCACCUGAAGACUAGUCUUUGGUAACUAAGACCUUGUGCCUAGCUCCCUUUUCCACACAUUUCUCCUAAAUCAAGUCUGAGCCACGAUUUAGCUAAGCUGUGACUGACGUAUCUACCCCACCACACCUCAGCGCUGUCCUGCCUGAUGAAUAUUCCCAGAGGGCUUCUGCCUGCCUUCACCCAGUCAUCCCAGCCCUGCCCUGAGCCUCUCUGUCUCUCCUGCUCUGAUGUGUGACAUCACAUCAUAUUUCACUUUACUUUCUACCUGUCCAUGGGCACCAGUCUUCUUGAGCAGAAAGAUGCUUGUGUGGCCUGUGAGGGUCAUGUGGCUGUCUGACAGUCUGCAUAUGUCCUAGUGUGGGCCUCGGAGCCUGCGGGAGAAAGCGUGAGCUCCUCAAGACAUAAGAAGUGGAAAGGGCAGCGGACGAGGCCAGUGACCGGCUUUCUGACACUGGAUCAGUCGCCUAGCCCACCUGCCUCCCUCGUAACACAGGGCUGACAGUCAUCUCAUGGAUGGGAAAAUUCUUAAAUGCCAAGCACUGCUGUUAGCAGUAUUUUAUGUCAAAUGCUUUGACCAAAUCAGGCUAAAUUGUGGCUAUGUAUAAGUUUUUGACUCUAAAAAUUGUUUGCUGAAUGACUCAGAUAUCUUUUCUGAAUUUGCUUACAUCCGCCAAGCAUUUCUUCAGAAAUGGGAAAAUGCUUUACAUUUGGUUGUCAUGAUUAAUAAAAUUGUAAAUUUUAAAUUAUCAUUGAAAUUAACAUAUUACUUACAUUUAAAAAACUGGAAAUAGAGAAAGGAAGGAGAAAAAUAAAAGGCCAAAAUCUCAAAGUGAAUGACAACUACAUUAACAUUAUAUUUCUUCCAGUUCUUUUUCUAGAUUAUUUUUAGAAUUUACUCAGUAGUAAGCACUUUAGAUUUUUUUGUAAUCUGCUGGUAAACCCUAAUAGAGGAAGGAUGUUGUGCACUUACAGGU
ensembl:lncRNA